rnacentral:rRNA from 1 species
UACGUAGGGGGGCGAGCGUUGUCCGGAUUCAUUGGGCGUAAAGCGCUUUAAGGCGGUUCGCUAAGUCGCGUGUGAAAACUCCAGGCUCAACCUGGAGACGCCACGUGAUACUGGCGUGACUAGAGUUCGGUAGGGGAUCACGGAAUUCCUGGUGUAGCGGUGAAAUGCGCAGAUAUCAGGAGGAACACCGGUGGCGAAGGCGGUGAUCUGGGCCGACACUGACGCUGUAGAGCGAAAGCGUGGGGAGCGAACAGG